GACGAACGCUGGCGGCGUGCUUAACACAUGCAAGUCGAGCGGUAAGGCCCUUUCGGGGGUACACGAGCGGCGAACGGGUGAGUAACACGUGGGUGACCUGCCUCUAGCUCUGGGAUAAGCCCGGGAAACUGGGUCUAAUACUGGAUAUGACUCCAUGACGCAUGUUGUGGGGUGGAAAGCCUUGUGCGGCUAGAGAUGGGCCCGCGGCCUAUCAGCUUGUUGGUGGGGUGAUGGCCUACCAAGGCGACGACGGGUAGCCGGCCUGAGAGGGCGACCGGCCACACUGGGACUGAGACACGGCCCAGACUCCUACGGGAGGCAGCAGUGGGGAAUCUUGCGCAAUGGGCGAAAGCCUGACGCAGCGACGCCGCGUGAGGGAUGACGGCCU
rnacentral:rRNA from 1 species